UCNGAGUUACAGUACAUUUCAUGACUUGAAUCAUAAAAUUAAGGGAGAAAGAACACAUACCUCUUCGUCGUGGAAGACGACUUCUUUGCUCUUUAUUUUGGACUAACCUUUUCUUUCCAUGACCAAGUAUGUAGGAAUGACCUUUAGCUUCACAGCACUCCUCCUGUACUUGAAGGAAGGUUGAUAACUCAUUCGCAAAACAGGACAAACCCAUACUGGAAUGCAAGUCUGAUAAUCAAAAGAAAUUUUAUUCUUUUGCGAAUUCGAUAGUUCAACAUGUAAUAUAUAGUCUGUAAUAUAAGUCUAACACUCAAAGAGUUCUGGAUGUACAUUAAUUCUCUUCUUAGUUCCCGAUAAAAGUCCCCUCGAUUCUCGAAUCGUUUUUACCGAUUCGACUUCCUAAACAAA